UGAUUUUAAGAUGUACAUUUUUUAAUUUGUAGACAAAGACUUACAGACAGGUGCAAAAAUAAAUCCUCUUUUGCAACCCAGGACUCAUCGUUCAGUGUGAGUUUUGAUACAUAUAAGAAGGAACAUG
rnacentral:snoRNA from 1 species